AAGAUGUCAAGAUGUUGCAGCACGCACCCGAGGACA
rnacentral:tRNA from 1 species